GGAAGAGUGAGCGGAACGGUAUCGCACCUCGUUGGAAGCGAGGCUCAUGUCGUAAAGGCGUGUGCAGGUUCAAGUCCUGUCUCUUCCG
rnacentral:tRNA from 1 species